AGGUCUUGCCUGCCCAGUGAUAAAUUAAACGGCCGCGGUAUUUUGACCGUGCGAAGGUAGCGCAAUCACUUGUCUUUUAAAUGAAGACCUGUAUGAAUGGCGGAACGAGGGCUUAACUGUCUCCCUUCUCUAGUCAAUGAAAUUGAUCUGUCCGUGCAGAAGCGGACAUAUAUAUACAAGACGAGAAGACCCUUUGGAGCUUAAGAUACAAGAUCAACCACGUCAAGAACAUAAAAGAAGUCAAACUAAGUGACACCUGAUCUCUAUCUUCGGUUGGGGCGACCACGGGAGAAAACAAAGCUCCCACGCGGACUGGGAUUAAAAUCCUAAAACUAAGAAAGACACUUCUAAGUAACAGAAUAUCUGACCAUUAAGAUCCGGCUAAAUGCCGAUCAACGAACCAAGUUACCCUAGGGAUAACAGCGCAAUCCCCUUUCAGAGUCCAUAUCGACAAGGGGGUUUACGACCUCGAUGUUGGAUCAGGACAUCCUAAUGGUGCAGCCGCUAUUAAGGGUUCGUUUGUUCAACGAUUAAAGUCCUACGUG
rnacentral:rRNA from 1 species